rnacentral:lncRNA from 1 species
AAGAAGGUGAAGCGGGACUUCACCCCAGGGUAUCUCGGAAGCCCUCGAGGCAGCGACGCUUCCACCCCCUGGAAACAGCAGGAAGGGAGAGCGCUCUUGUGCCCCGGUCCUGCUUUGAGUGCUUCUCAUUGACGCGUCUGCUUGGCCACUCACUCUACAUGGGCCCUUGUGGCCUUGAUCCAGUAGCCGGGUCCUUCUUUGGAAAGAGCGAGCGCCUCCCUCCGCCCCCGCCACACGGAGCUCAGCCUGCACGUGGGCAGGCCCUUUGCGUCUUGUGCGCUUGGCGCGCUGCUCUCUCCAGCUUCCUCCCGGCCGGGCCAGCGGCUCCACCUCUUUUCCUUUGCCUUUGAGCCGCAUAAUUCCCAGCUAGCAAUUAGCAGGCUCGCUCCACCUCCUUCUCCUCCCGGCUUUGCUGCUGCUGCUGCGAGGCUCUUUUCCUCCACCUUGGAGAGGUUCCCGCUUCCUCGAGGGGGGCCAAAACAUUAGGAAGAACUUCCUGACAGUAAGAGCUGUUCGACAGUGGAAUUUGCUGCCAAGGAGUGUGGGUGGAGUCUCCUUCUUUGGAGGUCUUUAAGCAGAGGCUUGACAACCAUAUGUCAGGAGUGCUCUGAUGGUGUUUCCUGCUUGGCAGGGGGUUGGACUCGAUGGCCCUUGGGGUCUCUUCCAACUCUAUGAUUCUAUGAUUCUAUGAAUAUUCCAACCCCCCAAGCAGAACAGAACAGCCAAGCGAACGGAGGCGGCGGCUCGAGGGCGCAUUCCAAGGGACGCGCGUCUGGCGGGGCUCCGCGUGUCCAUGUCGGGAGAGUUCUCCCGGCUGCGGCUGCGCUGCUCCGCCGGGCCGCCGGCCGGACCUCUUGGGCCGCUGGCCCUCCCGCUCUUUCUAGCUUCGUCGUCCUGCCCUCCGGCGCCCUCGGGCGGGCGGGGCGGAGCCGGCUCCUCCCCGGGGGUGGUCCCGGGACUGGGAGGCCGCGCCGCGCACGCUCCAGAAGCGGAGGGGCCGCUGCUCGGAGCCCCGAUCCGGGCGCGGGGAUGGAGAUGGUGCGGGCCGCGCGGAGCUGCUGGCUGCUGCUGCUGCUGCUGCUCUUCGGGGCGCUGCCUGCGCAGGCCGACCGGCCAGGUUUUCAGCCAUUAUCUCAGCUGUCUGCUUACGAAAUUAUUGUCCCCAAGAGGAUAACAAGAAAACACCGUGAUGUGCUGACAUCCAGCUAG